UGGUACUUUAACGCACGCACAUAUUCAUCACUCCUCCCUGCUCCGUUAUAAGAUAAGUUAACAAUGUUGGUCGACACACAAAUUAACUUCUGUCUUAGUACAUACAUUUCACACUUGUCAGUGUUCAUAUUUAAUAUAAGCAAUAUUUAUUAUACUUAUAUAUGUUGUGGAUGAGCGCAUUGUUUGUUCUGUUCCUCUCUCUCUGUAGCUUCCGGGUAUGCUGGAUAAGGACCCGAGCUAAGGGAAUUGGGCUGACUUUGUAGUGCCUGUCCCGAAUGGUUCAUUCAUGUAAAUGGGCAUAUUGAAAGACACUGUCACUGUCAGUAGUGAUGUAUUGUUGUAAAUGUUAUUUUGGGAUAUUGUUUCAUAAAAAACGUGUUGCAAUGUAUAUCCUUUAGUAUGUUUAGUUAAUGGAAAAUGUAGGUUUGACUAGGUAAUCGCUUAAUUAAUUUGUGUUAAUUGUUCUGAGGGGAGGGGCUAGCCCUACAAAAGGAGCCUCUCUUUCAGUUCAUGGAGAGGCAUUUUGGAUUGAGCUGUGGAUGGGGUAGCAUUGUUUUUAGCUGUCCCAUAAGGUAUAUGUUUGAUGGCAGUACUGUUGUUUUUGUUCCGGAAUCAAUUUGUAAAUAAACACGCUGAAGCACAGAA